rnacentral:rRNA from 1 species
GUGGGGAAUAUUGGACAAUGGGCGCAAGCCUGAUCCAGCCAUGCCGCGUGAGUGAUGAAGGCCUUAGGGUUGUAAAGCUCUUUCAGUGGGGACGAUAAUGACGGUACCCACAGAAGAAGCCCCGGCUAACUUCGUGCCAGCAGCCGCGGUAAUACGAAGGGGGCUAGCGUUGUUCGGAUUUACUGGGCGUAAAGCGCACGUAGGCGGAUCGUUAAGUCGGGGGUGAAAUCCUGGAGCUCAACUCCAGAACUGCCUUUAAUACUGCGAGUCUAGAGGCCAGAAGAGGUGAGUGGAACUCCUAGUGUAGAGGUGGAAUUCGUAGAUAUUAGGAAGAACACCAGUGGCGAAGGCGGCUCACUGGUCUGGUACUGACGCUGAGGUGCGAAAGCGUGGGGAGCAAACAGGAUUAGAAACCCCUGUAAUCC